ACGGGAGGCAGCAGUGGGGGAUAUUGCACAAUGGAGGAAACUCUGAUGCAGCAACGCCGCGUGAGGGAUGAAGGUUUUCGGAUUGUAAACCUCUGUCCUUAGUGAAGAACUUAAUGACGGUAACUAAGGAGGAAGCUCCGGCUAACUACGUGCCAGCAGCCGCGGUAAUACGUAGGGAGCGAGCGUUGUCCGGAUUUAUUGGGUGUAAAGGGUGCGUAGGCGGCUAUAUAAGUCAGACGUGUAAUGCAGGGGCUUAACCUCUGAACUGCGUUUGAAACUGUGUGGCUUGAGUGGAGUAGAGGCAGAUGGAAUUUCCAGUGUAGCGGUGAAAUGCGUAGAUAUUGGAAGGAACACCAGUGGCGAAGGCGAUCUGCUGGGCUCUAACUGACGCUGAGGCACGAAAGCAUGGGGAGCAAACAGGAUUAGAUACCCUGGUA
rnacentral:rRNA from 1 species